rnacentral:rRNA from 1 species
AUUGAACGCUGGCGGCAGGCCUAACACAUGCAAGUCGAGCGGAUGAAGGGAGCUUGCUCCUGGAUUCAGCGGCGGACGGGUGAGUAAUGCCUAGGAAUCUGCCUGGUAGUGGGGGAUAACGUCCGGAAACGGGCGCUAAUACCGCAUACGUCCUGAGGGAGAAAGUGGGGGAUCUUCGGACCUCACGCUAUCAGAUGAGCCUAGGUCGGAUUAGCUAGUUGGUGCGGUAAAGGCCUACCAAGGCGACGAUCCGUAACUGGUCUGAGAGGAUGAUCAGUCACACUGGAACUGAGACACGGUCCAGACUCCUACGGGAGGCAGCAGUGGGGAAUAUUGGACAAUGGGCGAAAGCCUGAUCCAGCCAUGCCGCGUGUGUGAAGAAGGUCUUAGGAUUGUAAAGCACUUUAAGUUGGGAGGAAGGGCAGUAAGUUAAUACCUUGCUGUUUUGACGUUACCAACAGAAUAAGCACCGGCUAACUUCGUG